rnacentral:lncRNA from 1 species
CUGACCAGGAAGUGAUCUUCUGUUUAGAACUGCGAUAUGCAGAAGGUCCGUCUGUCUUCCUUUGAUAUUCACCUGUGAAAAGAAAGUGACAGGGUGAGGAAACAUGGAAUUAAGACGUGUUCAGAGCUGAGAUUCAAGACUGGAACUCUACCAUCACCUUUCCUGGGUCUCCAGCAUGCCUAUUGUAGAUAUUGGGGCUUCUCAGCCCUCAUAACCAUAAUUAUUCAAAGCCUUCAAAGGGUUCUGCAUAGCAAACAACAGACAUGGAACCAUGAACAAGCAAACUAAAGGGAGCCUUAAUACAUUCACCCUAUGUGAGACCAGCCAGAAUGAGGACUCCUCAAGGAC